CACCAACGACAUCACUUGCAAUCGAGAU
rnacentral:sRNA from 1 species